rnacentral:lncRNA from 1 species
GGUGUGACCCAUCUUCCGUGCUUGAAAUCGACGUAGUGGACCCUGGCUAGCAUAUUUUUCCCUGCCAAGAUUAUUGCAAAAAGACGAUGUGGUGGUUAAUAUCGGAAAGAAUGUGUGGUUAAUAUCAGGAAGAACACGUGAAAUGGAGAAUUUCAGGGCUAACAUUUCUUGUUUUGUUUCUGAAAACAUCGGCAUGUCCUAAAAAGUGUCGCCUGUGCCCAUCAUCUCUCAGGCUUGGGAGCAGGACACCGCCGGCUCACUUUAAAGCCAAGGGAAAGAAUUUGGACAACCAACUACGUCUGGAGAAGACACCAAUGUCAGCAGAGCUCCGCUUUCAUCUGUGGGCGAAGGAUUACCUAGAUGCCAAGGCAAGAGACUGAAGACACAAACUGUUUCAGUAUAACAAAGAAAAUAGGCCGGGAGCGGUGGCUCACGCCUGUAAUCCCAGCACUUUGGGAGGCCGAGGCGGGUGGAUCACGAGGUCAGGAGAUCGAGACCAUCCUGGCUAACACGCUACCUAAAAGGGAAGCGCCCCCUGUCCUAUGAUCACGUGACUUGCUUCACCUUGUCAAUCACUUGGAAGAUUCACCCUCCUUACCCUGCCCUCCUUGUCUUGUAUGCAAUAAAUAUCAGUGCGCCCAGCCAUUCGGGGCCACUACUGGUCUCCGUGUCUUGAUGGUAGUGGUCCCCCGGGCCCAGCUGUUCUCUCUUUA